AUUCUGUUCAAGUGAUGAUAAAGUUAUGUUGUGGAAUAAAAUUGUUGCAACAAAAAUAGGAGAAUUUCUUCAUCUAUGGUGGACUUAAACUUCGAACGGAAAGAAACUCUCAUAUAAAAAACAUGGAUGUUUGGGAAAAAUGUUUGAUGCUUGAUUUAUGACGAAUCAUUAACUAAGUUUGAGUAGAAUAUUUGAUAAAAUAAAAUUUUCAUAUUUGGUUUGUCUUUUUUAGGAUUUCUUCAUCAAAAGGUGGAAAUUCACACAUAAACAACAUCUAACAACAUGAAGGAUUGGGAACAAUAAACGUAUACAAAUAUGUUAACAAUCAGAUAACCAGCACCAAUUUAAUGGCAUUGGAUAAAUUUAUGUAAUAAUAAAUCUUCGAGCUUUUUA